CUAAACAAUGAAGAAAAAUGAAUAAGUGAUCUGGAAGUUAGAAUAAUGGAAAACACCCAAUCAGAACAGGAGACAGACAAAUGAGAAACAAAAACCAGAAGGCAACAUAUGAGAUCCA